UCAAAAUGUACAUUCACAGGAAAAUGUCAAAACAAUCCAAAAAGCGAAAGCACUUGGAGUCUUCAUCCUCAAGUGAAGAAGAUACAAAGUCAUCCAAGGAACAAGAAGUUUCUGAGAAUUACAAACGUGUCACGAGGAACCACGCUGAAAAGAAGAGCUCUGCAGCAAAACAAGAAAAGUGUUCAUCCUCU